rnacentral:lncRNA from 1 species
AUGUUCAUUAACACUUCUAUUAAUUCAUCCAUAAAGAUGGGUGCAAAGAAUCAGCCUAGAUAUCUAAUGGACCUUAUGGAGAAUUCCACCAGCUUCGUGGGUGUAUCAAAAUUUGAAAGAUUCUGUGAACAGGCAUGAUUAUGUAUGUAAGCUUUGUGAUUUUAAACAUACUGGUUCAUUGUUGCACCUUUUGACAUGUUCACAAAUUGGAGUAUAGAUAUGUUUAAAGUGCAUAUGUAUAAAUAAAAUUACAUGUUGGUUGAAGAAUAUUUGAAAUAAAUUAUUCAUACAUGUUCACGUGAGGAUGCCCAUUCUCUAUUAGAAAAUUGAAAAUGACAUGAUAAAUUUGUUUGAUUGAUUUCAUGUCUCGCUAAACUCAUAUUAAGCAUAAAGUAUGAAAAUUGUGACUUAUUCUAGUAGAAAGUGCUUGUGAAAUUAUUGAGACAUGGAAACAUCUUAUAGAGUACAGUUUAUGUUUUUUCAUAUGAUUGUGACAAAAUUGUGUUUUGUCCAAAUGUGAAUAAGAUGAACAUAUACUUUAUGGUUUGACAUGAUAUAAUAUUAUCUUAUGUCACAAAAAGCAAAAAGCAAUGAUUCGCUUAUGUUUGGAAAAGUAAUAACUCUUGGGAAUCAAGAUGAUUAGUCUUAUUCAUUGAUGAAUUUGACUUCAAUCAUAAAACCAAAUUGAGUUGGUUUAUGCUUGAAAAGCAUGGUAGGUCUAUGAGAUGACCUUGAUCAAAUUGUGUGAUCAAAAUUAAGUCGUGAAUUGAAGCACAACUUUGUUGGUCUAUGUGACAACCGUGAUUUAAAUAAUCACAACUUCAAAUGAAAAUUGAGUUUUCAUUUGUGUGAAUUGACGAUCACUAUUUGAAAGUACUUAGACUUUCUCGAAGUGCUCGAUAUGGAUAUCAUCUAAAUAAUAAAUGGAUUGAACUAUGAAAGAGUUAAUAACUCUAAGUUCAAGUGUAACCCAAAAAUGUGGGGGUUAUCAUAAAUGCUUGAGAACUUAUACGAAAGGUUCAAAACGUACGUACAUUCCUAAUUUAGGAAUUGUGGGGGUAACUUAAAGUUACACUUUUCUGUACUUCUCAAGAAAAUGGAAAAGACUCCAUAUUAGUUGUGGAAAAGUCAUCAUUCAUCCUAUCAACAUGUAAAAGUGUGGGGAUGUUUGGCAAAGGUCGAAGUUCCUAACAAAUAAAGAUUGGUCCCAAAGUGAUUGAUUGCAUAUUUAUUGGAUACACCAAUAAAUAGUAAUGCAUAUCAUUUUCUGUACACAAAUUGGAUGUACAUGAGGGUACCAUAGUGGAAUAAAGAAGUAUAAUAUUCUUUAGAAUUAUUCCUUGCAAAGACAAAGGAAAUGUAAGUUCAAAUAAGAGAACUUAUGAAGCUACAAAUGGAUCUUCAAAUUAAAAAGAACCAAGGCGUAGUAAGAGGGUUAGAAAGAAGGACUUGACUUCUUUGAUAUCCACUCAUCCAUAAUUAGAGUUACUUUGAUAAGGUUACUAAUUGCAACUGCGGCAAUCUAUAUAUAACUUUGAGAUUCAUCAAAUGGAUGUGAGAACAGUACUCCUAAAUGGGAGAUAUACAUGGAGCAGCCUGGAGGAUUCGUUUCUCCAAAGUGAAAGCCAUAAAACUUGUAAACGGAUUCAAAAUGAACUAAUGUGACAAGUGUGUAUACGUGAAUACACCAAAUGCCUAUGUAAUUGUAUAUCAGGGAAAAGCCACGAAGUGUUGGUAAACAUCAAGAAAAUGCUAACGAAGCAUUUCGAUAUGAGAGGCAUGGGUGUGGCAGAAGUAAUACUAGGGAAAAAGAUCUCUAGGAAUUGUACUUUCCCAAUAUCAUUAUGAUAGAGAACAUACUUAAGUAUUUGCGGGAAAUAAUUCAAGACACAUAUUAAUACAAGUAUACACUUGGUUAAAAUAAGAGUGGAAACGUGUCACAACUAAGGUAUUCACAAAUGAUUNNNNNNNNNNNNNNNNNNNNNNNNNNNNNNNNNNNNNNNNNNNNNNNNNNNNNNNNNNNNNNNNNNNNNNNNNNNNNNNNNNNNNNNNNNNNNNNNNNNNNNNNNNNNNNNNGAAAAAGAAGCAAAACAACUUCGCUUCGUAACUUUUGGAAGAUGUUCCAUAAGUAUACCUGUGGUAGUCAGUCAGUUACUGGAAGGGCUAGAAGAAGCAAGAACAAUUGAAAUAUUUGAAGAAUAUUCAUAAGGUUCAAAUACACUGUGACAGUUCAAUAUUAGAAAUUGAACACCCUUCAACUAUAAGAAAUGAUUGACUAUAAGAAAAUCCUCCAAUUGCGUUUGAAAUAGCUUUAGAUAAAGCUAAUAAGAAGCAUGUAGCUUCAUGAGAGGAUUUCUUGGCUGUGACAAUGUGUAUCUAUUAAAUAAAUCAAUCGCUGGCCAGCUACAUUUGAUAAAGAUACUAAGUCACAUGUAACGGUAAGACAUAAUACCGCCAAGCAGUUGAUCUCAAUGGUGUAAACUCGUGGUACCUUUAAAGAGAUUUACUAGGAGAGAUCAAGAAUACUGCAUAUCGAAGGGAAUGAGGUAAAGCCUACUACGUUAGAGUCCUUGUAAUGGUAAUCCUACCUUGUUGACUGGAGAUCCCAAGAUCUUGGUUCAAAGGGACAACUAAGUUAUGAGGAUUCCAUGAAGCACUUAGGAAAUAAUUUCCUAACUCAUUCCUAUGAUACCAAAGUGCUUUCUGCAGAGUUGGAAGAGGUUAAGAUAAUCUUUUAAUGAUUCCUAGAUCUUGAUUAAGUCAAGUGGAGUAGGGCAGAAUACUCUUUAUAGGAGGUCACCUAUGUAAGUGUGAAGUGGGGCCGCUUCAAUGAGAAUUAUUAAAAGGCUAAAUUCUCAAAACACUUGCAGAACCAAGAAGGGUUCAAGGCCAAAAUGAACCAAGUCAUGAGAACAACGACGGAAUAGGGAAGACAUCUAUGUGAGUAUUGUUGUCUUGGCUUACACCAAAGGCUGAAUGGUUCAAGACAUCACGUUCACCAAUUAGCCAAGUAAGUCCGAUAGUAUUUCACUAAGGGAGGUUCAAAGCCAGAAGCUACCUUACCUGAUGCAGUGUUUUUCCGCUUACUCUCUACAAUGCAUAAUGCAUCAUCAUUGCAUUGCAUGAUACUUAUGUACUCGAAUUUUCAUUCAUGCGGGGGAUUGUUGGAAAUGGUGUUUAUUAAUAAACCAAUUCAAAAAUGAAUGAUAAAUUGUGGUUUUGGAAUAGUGGCACCUGUUUGGAACGUUGUAUGGUUUGGCUCAAAUCCUUUCAUCACACCACUCCAUUCUCUAUAUAAAGGACCCCUUGGAUGACUUUGAGAGUACACCAUUUGCAUAUUGAGCAUUCAUUCUUCUCAAAAUUGCAAUUCUCUUCUUCUUCAUCUCUUUUCAUAUAUUAUAUUCCUUGUAGAGGGGAAACUCCGUCGAAAGUUCGCCGGAUUUGUGGUUUGAAGUGCUACUACCACAAAUCGAAUCCGUUGUAUCUUGGGAGACAAUUGCCGCCAAUCGUGAGCAUCGGGGCAAUAUUGUCUUAAGGAGAGAGUGAAUACACUUGUCUCGGAUUUAAUCUUCGUUUUCUACUCCUUCUUAUUUUAAUUUUCUUAUUUGGUUUUAUGGUUUUGUACUACAUUUCCAUUUCAUAAAUUUGUGAUUUAAAAUGCACUCACAAACAACCAUCUUUACCGCUCACAAAUAAGCCAGGCACCAACAUUUAUCACAUCAGAAAUCUACUUAUCAACAUUUGUAUAGGAAGUCAGAUAGUGAUUGUGAUCAUGAAUACAUUGCUUGUCCCCAUCUCAAUUGGUGGAUUUCUCUACUUAUUCAUCACGGAUCCAGUUUCCACGGUCAUACUAGGUAUAAUCCCAUUGGCCGUCCUACUCUCUUUUGGUGUCUCAAGGAUGAGAAUCGUUAGAUGCUUGGUGAUGGUAAAGAAUUUUUUCUUAUGGCAAUCUGAGGCCUCGGUCAAUCCCAAUGAAGCAGAACACAUGGUUGGUUGUGAGCAAGAUCUUAGAAAUUUUUUUUUACUUCUAGAAAGUGAGGUAAUACAUGAUGGAUACCUGAUGUUCAUUAACACUUCUAUUAAUUCAUCCAUAAAGAUGGGUGCAAAGAAUCAGCCUAGAUAUCUAAUGGACCUUAUGGAGAACUCCACCAGCUUCGUGGGUGUAUCAAAAUUUGAAUGUGAUCAAGUCUCUCCGAUUAUUUGCACAGAACCUCUUAAUUGCUGGAGUCUAUCCGUGGCAACGCUAACUAGCAUCAUGAUUGCUCUUCCCAAUGUCCAAAAUGAGAAGAAGAGUCAGUUUGUUAGAAGUGUCAUGGAAGGUUUUA